CCUACGGGUGGCUGCAGUGGGGAAUUUUGGACAAUGGGCGCAAGCCUGAUCCAGCCAUUCCGCGUGAGUGAAGAAGGCCUUCGGGUUGUAAAGCUCUUUCGCAAGGGAAGAAAACUUAUCCUCUAACAUAGGAUGAGGUUGACGGUACCUUGAUAAGAAGCACCGGCUAACUACGUGCCAGCAGCCGCGGUAAUACGUAGGGUACGUGCGUGAAUCGGAAUUACUGCAGGUUAUUUGGUAAGUGGGAGGUGAAAUCCCCGAGCUCAACUUGGGAACUGCGUUUGAAACUACAAGACUAGAAUAGGUCAGAGGGGGGUAGAAUUCCACGUGUAGCAGUGAAAUGCGUAGAGAUGUGGAGGAAUAUCAAUGGCGAAGGCAGCCCCCUGGGAUCAUAUUGACGCUCAUGCACGAAAGCGUGGGGAGCAAACAGGAUUAGAUACCCUAGUAGUC
rnacentral:rRNA from 1 species